rnacentral:rRNA from 1 species
GACCAGGGCUACACACGUGCUACAAUGGUCGGUACAAAGGGUUGCUACCUAGCGAUGGAUGCUAAUCUCAAAAAGCCGAUCGUAGUCCGGAUUGGAGUCUGCAACUCGACUCCAUGAAGUCGGAAUCGCUAGUAAUCGCGGAUCAGAAUGCCGCGGUCGAAUACGUUCCGGGCCUU